UGUGUGGUGUGUGACACCGUGUGUGUUGUGUUGAGGGGAAUGUGUGUGCGCCUGAGUGUAUGAGUGCGCUGUCUCUUUAAGAAAGCACUCAGGGUCAGGAGCCUGAAGGCUUGCAUUCAGACACAAGCAGCCGCCAGCAGCUCUGGACCCAGAGAGGCGGCAGCACACACAAUGAUUUCCCCUGUCCCGUCACCCCAGCUCAAUGAAAAUUGGGUGCUCGGGUGAGGGGGAUGCCCUGACA